rnacentral:lncRNA from 1 species
UAGGAAAGUACUCUUGAGCAGAUCAGAGAGGGACUGGGUUAUCACACAAGGAUGACUUUUACUUUACAGGCAUUGAAGAAUUUGAGAGGAGUAAUGUAAGCAAAAUAAUGGUUUAAACAGACAACCUGGUAGCAUUUUAUGGGAUAUGUUUGAGGGGAGAACAUCAGCUUGGAGACUACUGCAACAGCCCAGAGGUGAAGUAACAGGGAUCCAAACUAAUGUCAGUCUUCCUAUUGGGAAAACCAAGUUCUGUCUCAGAUGUCUUGGGUGUGGAGUGAGGGAGUUUGGGGAGAGUUGGAAAGACAAGACUCAAUCACCAGUCACCAAGUUUUACCUCAAAGUUCCUCUUAACAAGAUAUCACUACGUCUGGAGCCAAAUGGAAGGUGACUUGCUUACUAAUAGAACCCACAGGUCUUCGGUGGUCUUUAAGAAAGGUUUCAACUGAAUAUCUGUGGCUGUACUUACAAAAGGUGGGCAGAAGGAGGCAUCCAUUUUGGCAAAUACCUCUGGUCUGAAAGGCCCUGGUCUGAGCCCUGGUGAGAGAAACACUCUGUAUUGUACAGAAGAAUGCACAAGAAAAGCUGCUGAUUCAGCUGAGAUCUGUUCCUAAG